UUAAAUUGAAGAGUUUGAUCAUGGCUCAGAUUGAACGCUGGCGGCAGGCCUAACACAUGCAAGUCGAACGGUAACAGAAAGCAGCUUGCUGCUUUGCUGACGAGUGGCGGACGGGUGAGUAAUGUCUGGGAAACUGCCUGAUGGAGGGGGAUAACUACUGGAAACGGUAGCUAAUACCGCAUAACGUCGCAAGACCAAAGAGGGGGACCUUCGGGCCUCUUGCCAUCGGAUGUGCCCAGAUGGGAUUAGCUAGUAGGUGGGGUAACGGCUCACCUAGGCGACGAUCCCUAGCUGGUCUGAGAGGAUGACCAGCCACACUGGAACUGAGACACGGUCCAGACUCCUACGGGAGGCAGCAGUGGGGAAUAUUGCACAAUGGGCGCAAGCCUGAUGCAGCCAUGCCAGUCGAACGGUAACAGAAAGCAGCUUGCUGCUUUGCGGACGAGUGGCGGACGGGUGAGUAAUGGCUGUGAAACUGCCUGAUGGAGGGGGAUAACUACUGGAAACGGUAGCUAAUACCGCAUAACGUCGCAAGACCAAAGAGGGGGACCUUCGGGCCUCUUGCCAUCGGAUGUGCCCAGAUGGGAUUAGCUAGUAGGUGGGGUAACGGCUCACCUAGGCGACGAUCCCUAGCUGGUCUGAGAGGAUGACCAGCCACACUGGAACUGAGACACGGUCCAGACUCCUA
rnacentral:rRNA from 1 species